rnacentral:rRNA from 1 species
UACGUAGGGUGCGAGCGUUAAUCGGAAUUACUGGGCGUAAAGCGUGCGCAGGCGGUUUUGUAAGCCAGAUGUGAAAGCCCCGGGCUUAACCUGGGAAUGGCAUUUGGGACUGCAAGGCUCGAGUGCGGCAGAGGAGACUGGAAUUCCCGGUGUAGCAGUGAAAUGCGUAGAGAUCGGGAGGAACACCAGUGGCGAAGGCGGCUACCUGGACCAGCACUGACACUGAAGCACGAAAGCGUGGGGAGCAAACAGG